UCGCAGCCCGACCUGAGUGGAGCUCUUUUUGCGAGGAGAGAUCCUUCGACAAGCUCAGAUAGGCUAGCAAAAAAGCGGGAACGGAGGGCGGAUUAAGC
rnacentral:misc_RNA from 1 species